rnacentral:rRNA from 1 species
CCACUGCUAUCGGGAUAGGACUAAGACAUGCUAGUUGAGCGCUUCCAGCCAAAACGGGAGCGCAGCGCACAGCUCAGUAACACGUGGCUAAUCUGCCCUUGGGACCGGAACACCCCCGGGAAACUGGGGCUAAUUCUCGAUAGGUGAAGAACUCUGGAAUGAGUCUUUGCCAAAAAGACGUUUACGUUAUGCUCGUAGGCGUCGCCCAAGGAUGAGGCCGCGACCGAUCAGGUUGUUGGUGAGGUAAUGGCUCACCAAGCCUUUUACCGGUGCGGGCCGUGAGAGCGGGAGCCCGGAGAUGGGCACUGAGACAAGGGCCCAGGCCCUACGGGGCGCAGCAGUCGCGAAAACUUUGCAAUACACGAAAGUGUGACAGGGCUAUCCCGAGUGCCAUCCGCUGAGGAAGGCUUUUACCCAGUCUAGAACGCUGGGGGAAUAAGGAGAGGGCAAGUCUGGUGUCAGCCGCCGCGGUAAUACCAGCUCUCCGAGUGGUGUGGAUGUUUAUUGGGCCUAAAGCAUCCGUAGCUGGCUGAGUUAGUCCCUUGUUAAAUCCACCGAAUUAAUCGUUGGAUUGCGGGGGAUACUGCUCGGCUAGGGGACGAGAGAGGCAGACGGUAUUUCUGGGGUAGGGGUGAAAUCCUAUAAUCCCAGGAGGACCACCAGUGGCGAAAGCUGUCUGCUAGAACGCGCCCGACGGUGAAGGAUGAAAGCUGGGGGGAGCGAACCGGGAUUAGAUACCCGGGUAGUCCCAGCUGUAAACG